rnacentral:rRNA from 1 species
GACGAACGCUGGCGGCGUGCUUAACUCAUGCAAGUCGAACGGAAAGGCCCUGCUUUUGUGGGGUGCUCGAGUGGCGAACGGGUGAGUAACACGUGAGUAACCUGCCCUUGACUUUGGGAUAACUUCAGGAAACUGGAGCUAAUACCGGAUAGGAGCUCCUGCUGCAUGGUGGGGGUUGGAAAGUUUCGGCGGUUGGGGAUGGACUCGCGGCUUAUCAGCUUGUUGGUGGGGUAGUGGCUUACCAAGGCUUUGACGGGUAGCCGGCCUGAGAGGGUGACCGGCCACAUUGGGACUGAGAUACGGCCCAGACUCCUACGGGAGGCAGCAGUGGGGAAUAUUGCACAAUGGGCGGAAGCCUGAUGCAGCAACGCCGCGUGCGGGAUGACGGCCUUCGGGUUGUAAACCGCCUUCGCCUGUGACGAAGCGUGAGUGACGGUAAUGGGUAAAGAAGCACCGGCUAACUACGUG